UGUGGGAGCGAGCCUGCUCGCGAAGGCGUCGGCACUUUCAAAAUCAGUAUUGGCUGGAAGAACGCUUUCGCGAGCAGGCUCGCUCCCACA
rnacentral:misc_RNA from 1 species